UAUUCAGGGUGCCUGGUGCUUGACAGACCUCUAAAAUUGGGGUAACAAAAAAUACUGAGGGCACAGAGUCUGGCUGGCCCUAAUUCUGCUGUAUGCCAAGGACUUCUUAAGAUCUUCCAAGUAUCAUCUUUUCUGCCCAAAGUCAAUGGGGGACACUGGCUAGUGAUCAAGGAAGGACAAGAAAAUCCAGAGCUGCUCACCUGGCACUGGGCUCCCAGACUGUUCCUUCCUGAGGUGGGAGCUUGUAUUUCAUGAGAGGGCUCAGCUCUCAUUUGGAACAGAAAAUGUUGUGCCCCAUAAUACAGCCUGCAUCUACGGUCUCACAGCACAGAGAAAAGAAAUCCUGAUUAAAUCUGACAAUUUCAAUUUGCUAUGAGAACAUCAUGAGCUAUUUUAUGUUUCCCCAGAAGCUUGUUGGAAUUUACCUUGGAAGUUUUGGAGCUGGGUUUUCUUGGCGACAGCGGGGGCAGUCGUUUCUGAACAAACAAGAUUGAAAUUUGUGUCUCAGUGAAGUGGUGCUGGGAGAUUGUUUGUCCUGCUGCACCGGGGCCGUUUCCGACACUCGGUGCCAGCUGAACUUCCUCCAUGUGCUGGAGGUGGACAGGAAUGUGGUGCAUUCACAAGAUGUGCCUCAGCUGAGGUUGUGCUGUGCUCCAAAGGCAUCUCAGGCAGGGAUGAGUGUGGGAACUGCUGGGGACAUCUGCUUUGAGCUGAUGAGGAGCUGAGUUGUACCUGUGCUUUGGAGUCCAGGGGUGCUGAGCUCCUGCACCUAGCCAUGGCCAGGGGGUUCCUGCGAAUGCAGCAGCUGAGAACAAACAAACCAACAAAAACCCAGGUCUGCAGGUGAGAUUUAUUUACUGCAGUUCAUUCCUGUCCUGAGUCUGAGUGUGAUAUGGGGAAUAAAUGCAUUUAUACAAGAGGCCAACCCUGGGAAAGACCCCCAUAAACAGCUGCCAGUUCAUGCUUACAGAAGGGCUUUGCCACAGCAAGGCAUUAACUGGUGGCAAGUGCAAAACAGAAACCUGAGGAGCAGGAAGCAGGCAGGGCUGUCUCUCUCCUCAUUGUGUGUGAUGGUGAGGAGCCCAGACUCUGGAUUAUUGUCCCUUUCCAUUCCCUGUGGGAUUUUCCUCCCUACCCACUGCAGCACAGGCAGGGCUGGGGGUGAGCAGCCAGAGGGGCUCUAGAGCAGUGAGCCACGAGGGGAGCAGGGUUCACUCUCCUCUGCAUUUGCUGCCUCAGCCAAAUUCUCCUCUCAUUCCCUCAGUGGCCUUAAACAAAGCAACCCCAUCCUUCUGCACCUCUCCCUCUGUGCAGCUCCUCCUGUCCCUCAGCUGCCAGGGGAAGGGAAAACCAGGUACAAAAUUAACACUUUUUCCUUUCCUACAGCUCUCUUGCACCAUCCUUUUCUCCCCUUAGGCCUCAAGGGGAUUGUUCCAGCCCUGACUGCCAUCACCCCCUUAACUCCUGGCACCUGCUGCCUGCUCAUAUUAAAAGGUUCAAAGCCAGCAAUGAAGACACAAUUUCUGCAGUGAGGAGCUGGGUGUUGACUUGGUAACACUGGCAGAGAAAGGAUUAACACCUGAGACUGAUGAACACUGGAUGAAAGUUCCUGUGUGCUUCAGCUGUGGCUUCCACCAAGGUAAAAUAUAAAACCUUCAUCAGAACUGCAAAAUCAAAGAGUUUAUCUUGAAUAUUUCAGUGAAAGAACCAUUAUUUCUGCAAGUUCAUAAUUUUUGUUGUUUAUUUACACUAUUUGAAGGAGUGGAAUGCAUCACUUGCACUUGUCACCUUAAAAAAGUUCUAUUGAAAAUGCAAAAAUAGUCUGGUUUGCCUGAUUCAUCUUAUUAUUAAUGUUCAGUGUUUCCAGUGGGUUAUCUACAGCUCACUGAGCAGGCAGACAUAGUUUCAUAAGGAGUAUUCUUCAGUGCAAUAGGGAUAAAUCUAAAGCACAAAAUGUCAUUUCAGUAUGGUAGUUGCAGCAGCUUUGUAUUAUUUUAGCUCAGUGUGAUUGCAAAUACAAAUAUGCUAAAAAAGAACCAGGAGAAAUGGUACAUUUAAACACAACAUUUUUAAAAGGCAUAGUCACUUUCUUGUGUUAAAAUCUACUCAUCUAUAGGCCUGGAAGUACUUAGAACACUCAGGUUUUUGAACAACUGACUGAUUAAAAAAAAUAAAAAGAGUGGUGAAAAGAAACCUUUUCGUUGAAGAAAUGUGAAAGUAACAUUUUUGGCAGGCUGCUUUGGGUGAUGUCAUUCUCUAGAAUGUGCUAAAGUCUGGUAUUUUACAAGAAGUGAUUUCUCAAGGCAAGCAGAGCCCAUGGGCACUUAGUGCUGCUCUCAACUUCAGCCAGCAAGACCUGUGCAUCUUUCCACCCUGUUUGAUGUAAUAAACCAUGUACACCCCCAAACAUGGCACUCAGACUUUAUUAAAAUAAUGUGUAAACACAUUUAAAUGUACCUUUACAUGCUUCAAAUCCAUUUGUUGUGUGGGUUUUUCUCUUGGCUGAGGAUCUGCUCAAUGCCAGUGUUGGGUAUUCAUUGCCUUCUGUAUUAAUUCAGUGUUAAAGUGAUUGGAUUCUGUGUAAAUUAUCCAAGAGGGAGCAAAAAUCCACUCAUCUUUGGAGGCUUAAAGGAUUGUCCCAUUAAGGGCCAAUAAAUGUAGAUCACUUGUGUGAAAAUACAGUGAAUAUUUGUAUUUGUUGCAUUUUAAAUCACUGCUUUUCUUCCAUCAAUUUGAAACACUGGGCACAAUAGUGUGGAAUAUUAAAUAUUUUAUUUAAGUAUUUUAUUUUAAAAACUGUAAAGGAUACAGCUGAUAGUAGUGAAACCUCAGGGCCUGAUUCUGCAGAAAUUUUGUGGAUUGGUAACAGAAUAAGGUGUCCCUUGAUUGGCCUUGUGGUUAUUGCAUCUGAGAGGAAAACUGCUGCAUACUUUUCCUUCUGAGAUUUACUUCUAGUGACAAAUACCAUGGCAACAGUCUGAGUAAAAUUUUUGUUACUAGGUAUAUAUUAAAAUAAUGUUCUAUCAGACAUCAGUGUCUCAUGAGGAGGUUUAUUCCUUAUUUCUGUUUGCUAGCAUGAAAGUAUUGAUUUGGUACUUUGAUUUGGGGACUUUCUGCAUCUAUUAAUGAAAAUCUGUUUUCUCACUUCUUCCCCAGAAGAUGUCAAUCAAUGUG